rnacentral:lncRNA from 1 species
UCUCUUCGAUCUCCUCUUCCUCUCUCAACCUCUCUCUUCGAUCUCCCUAGAUAUCAACGAUGAUGGAACCCAGCGCCGCCAGCCAUCGACAGAAUCAAAGAGCUGCCAGUAGCCAUCUCCACCAACGCCGACAGCACCACUCGACACUCUCUUAGGCUCUUAGCGCUGAAAUCUCAGCAUUGAAGCUCAAUUUUUUCUUUUGCUCUCAACGGGUAAGAAUUUUUGUCUUUGCUCGAAGCGUCGUUGUCAUUCUUGGAAGUCUUCUUCUCCAUUUUCAAUUUCUAUCCAAUUUUUGAUUAAAAAAAGUUGAUAUGGAAUUUGCCCACUGAAUUUCAUUCGAUUUCACAACAUCAUUUUAGAUUUUAGCUACUCAUACAAAAAGUAAAAUAACAAGAACAAAAGUAAAGAUAUUGAAGAUUAAAGAUCUUUGUUUAAGAAGUAGAAAAAGUAAGAUUAUGAACUAGAUGAAAUAAUAAACCUAUAACUAAACAAAAAGUAAGAAAGAAUGUCAAAUCAUUACAAUUGAAACAUCAUAUGCAAAUUUAUGGUCAGUGGAUUCUCCUUGCUGCUCUGUUGAUUUUCUUUUAAGGGUUGUUGGAUUCACAUUGUGAAUUUACUCUGUAGGCAUGAAUUGCUUCAUAGUUUGCUUCUCUUUGUUGUAGGUUCCUCUUUAGUUCU